rnacentral:rRNA from 1 species
UACGAAGGGUGCAAGCGUUACUCGGAAUUACUGGGCGUAAAGCGUGCGUAGGCGGUUCGUUAAGUCUGUCGUGAAAGCCCUGGGCUCAACCUGGGAAUUGCGAUGGAUACUGGCGAGCUAGAGUACGGUAGAGGAUGGUGGAAUUCCCGGUGUAGCGGUGAAAUGCGUAGAGAUCGGGAGGAACACCCGUGGCGAAGGCGGCCAUCUGGACCAGUACUGACGCUGAGGCACGAAAGCUAGGGGAGCGAACGGG